rnacentral:rRNA from 1 species
UACAGAGGGUGCAAGCGUUAAUCGGAAUUACUGGGCGUAAAGCGCGCGUAGGUGGUUUGGUAAGUCCGGUGUGAAAUCUCCGAGCUCAACUCGGAAAAUGCACUGGAUACUACCAGACUUGAGGGUCGGAGGGGAGACUGGAAUUCUCGGUGUAGCAGUGAAAUGCGUAGAGAUGUGGAAGAAUACCGAUGGCGAAGGCAGCCUCCUGGGAUAACACUGACGUUGAGGCUCGAAAGCGUGGGGAGCAAACAGGAUUAGAUACCCGAGUAGU